AACCCUUCUUCCUUUGAGGCCUGAACAAAGGCAGGAAAGCGGAUCCAGGAAUAAACACCUGAAGAUGAAAUUGCAGAGUGGAGUGAGGAAGUGUUUAACUCUUGGAGACACAAUUGUAGCCACGAUUUCUGUUCCUCUUGAGCUCUGAGCAGUGCAUUUCUAGAGGAUCUGCCUCCCUCCGUGGAGCUGCUGGGCAGGGACACUCGGGAAAGCUCCGGGAUUCAUCCUCACCUUUGCUCCUGGAAUCCCUGGUGGUGCCAGCGCCACCCCAGCUGCAUUUUUGGUGUUCUAACCCUUUCCCCUGUGCUUCCCUGUGUGUUGCAGACAAGCCACUACCUCAGAGUGCCCCGGGAGGCAUCAUCGGGAUCGUGGGAGGCGUCAUCGCCGCCGUCUUCAUCAUCGGCGUGGCCGUCACCGUCAUCAUCGUCUACCGGCGGCAGCAGAAGAGCCGCUCCGGCCCGGACCACGACCUGACUGACCUCCCUCCAUCCCACAAACCUGCCCCUCCACCAAGGAGGAAACAGGACACGAAAAGCCACCUGACUCCAGAAGACAUCCAGGUUGUUCACUUGGACAACAUGAAACACGAGGAGGAGAUCCAGAAGUUCCCUCUGCAGACUCCCUACUAUGACAUGGCAGCCCCUGAGCCCUCUCCCUACAGCGACAAACUGGUAAGGAGCUCAGGGUGACAGUGGCACUGCCUGGCACCUCACCUGGCACACAGCACCCACGACUCUCCCAUCCUGGAGGAAAGCAGCCUCCACACUCUGGUCUCGGCUCACCCUAAUUCCAUAGGUGCCAGAGCUGUGCCUUGAUGGGUAAAAUGCCCUGCCCACCCCAAAUUCUCUACCUGCAACCCACCUACCCACCCUGGGCACUGCUCAGCUCCUGCAAGGAGCCCCUGUUGGGGUUUGCAGCUGAGGGAAGCAGCAGGGAGAGCUUCACAAAGCAAUUAUCUGCAGGGCAGAGCGUGCCAGCGUUUGACUCUCACUUGACAACAACAAGUUAUUUAAACCCUUUUUUUUUUUUUUCUUUUUUUUUUUUUUCUGGUGUGUGGAUUUGUUCAGCCUCAGAUGGGAGAUGUUAAUGUGAGGCAGCAGCAGCGGGGGGAGAUUAAGGGUCAGGAGGAGAUGCUGGCAGUCACAUGGCAAAGGCUGGUUUGCAAGGAGUGAGGGCAUGUUAGAUGUGAAGGUGUAGGGAACAGAAAACAGGUAAGAUUAGAGUGAGUUUUUGAUGAGAAAACAGAAAACCAUCCCCCUGCCAGGCCUUGGACAGCAUCCUUUCCCUCCUUCACCCCAUAGCAUGGGGAUACUCUGGAUUUUUAUCCACAGCAGACAAGAUAUCCCAAUGUAAACCCUUCAGGUCUCUCCCAAACUCCUCCUCAGCAGGAGUUCAGAGCACUGCACACACAGCCUGGUGCUUCAGCAGAGUGAACUCCCUGCCUGGAGAAAGGUGCAGAAAUAUCAGCCCAGACUGGAGUAACUUUUUAUGAACACCACUAAUUAUAGCCCUGUCCAUCCCAGAGUGACCCUGCCAUGUGUGCAGAUAAUGGGAGGACAGAGCCCAGAGACCUUUGGAUGGCACAAGUCUGAAGCCAGGGGUGUUGGAAAUCAAAAGCCACAGUUCUGUGCUGAGCCGGGUGGAUGUGAUCCUAUUGACUUCAUCCCUAAAGGAAAACUUCCCCUUGGAGCCCUCCCUCAGUCCUGGGGCUGCUCCCCAGCUCUUUCUACUCCUUGCUGAGUUUUAAAUGAAACACAGGAUGUUGGAGCGAGACCACUGCUUGAACAGCAUCUGAAAGCUGCAUUUCAGGCGAGCGGGAGGACGGAGGAGCUCAUUUG
ensembl:lncRNA